GUUUUAUUUUAUUGAAUUGCAUUAUAUAUUGUACAGAGACAAACAGACAGACCCAAAUGAAAGGCCACGGAAUCCAUUCAUUUCACGAGUUCCGAUACUCAUCCAAUGGAAUUCUCCCUACUAAGCUUCGCAUAUAUCCUCGCUCUAAUGUCUCUCCCCGAUUCCACCCUCUCCAUCGCAGGCUCCUCCUCGCACCCAUUCACACUCAUAAACCCGCCACGUGGCGACCCGAACACGCAACGGGUCAGACCCGAAUACGACCCUUCCUCAUCC
rnacentral:lncRNA from 1 species